rnacentral:rRNA from 1 species
UAAGGAAUAUUGGUCAAUGGGCGCAAGCCUGAACCAGCCAUGCCGCGUGCAGGAUGACGGCCUUAUGGGUUGUAAACUGCUUUUGUACGGGAAAAAACCCCUUUACGUGUGAAGGGUUGAUGGUACCGUAAGAAUAAGGAUCGGCUAACUCCGUGCCAGCAGCCGCGGUAAUACGGAGGAUCCUAGCGUUAUCCGGAUUUAUUGGGUUUAAAGGGUGCGCAGGCGGAAUAAUAAGUCAGUGGUGAAAUCCUGCAGCUUAACUGCAGAACUGCCAUUGAUACUGUUAUUCUUGAGUGUAGUUGAAGUGGGCGGAAUGUGUCAUGUAGCGGUGAAAUGCUUAGAUAUGACACAGAACACCAAUUGCGAAGGCAGUUCACUAAGCUAUAACUGACGCUCAUGCACGAAAGCGUGGGGAUCAAACAGG